UACGUAGGGUGCGCGCGUUAAUCGGAAUUACUGGGCGUAAAGCGUGCGCAGGCGGUUUUGUAAGCCAGAUGUGAAAUCCCCGGGCUUAACCUGGGAAUGGCAUUUGGGACUGCAAGGCUCGAGUGCGGCAGAGGAGACUGGAAUUCCUGGUGUAGCAGUGAAAUGCGUAGAUAUCAGGAGGAACACCGGUGGCGAAGGCGGGUCUCUGGGCCGAAAUUGACGCUGAGGAGCGAAAGCGUGGGGAGCAAACAGG
rnacentral:rRNA from 1 species